UUGGAGGAGAUGGAGGAAUCGGGUUAGUGUUUACGAAGGGAUUGAAGAAUAACGGACUGACGAAAGGUUUACGGAAUGUGGCUCGGAUUGGUUGUUUUACGGACUUUGGAACUCGGAUAGAUUAAGGACUGGGUUUGGAAGAUAAACUGACGGAAGAAACGGAGAAGAAAGAAAAGUGUGGCACGAUCUGAGGACAUGGCUGAUCUUGGUGGAAGGGAAUACAAAUGAACAGGGGAAGGGUCAUCUGUGAUGGGUAUUUCUGGAAUGACCUACAGUACUUUAUGUAUGCGACAGACCUGAGCAAAAUGGCCGCCAAGAAGAUCCAGCUGACCUGCAUAUGGAAAGGGCCUAUUCAGCAAAACAACGAGACACAGGUAUCCAGACAACGAGAGAGCCGUUGGCCUCCUCUACCAGCCUGUCUGUUCGAGAAGGCCGAAUGGCUGCUUUGGAAUGCAGGCUGAAGGCAGAGGGAGAGCACAGGGUGAGCUGGUACAAGCAGAUCCCAGGAGAGAAGCCACAGUUUGUUCUUACUUACCAGCCCUCUAACGGUACUCUCGUUUCUUAUGGCUCUGGGUUCGGUCCUGUCCGCUUUGCCGCCAAGGGGAACAGCUCCUUCAACAGCCAGCUCGUCAUACGCAAUGCGUCGCUGGGCGACACCGCGCUGUACUUCUGCGGCCUGAGCCCCAAGGACAGCCACCACAGUGUGACCCCCAGGACCCCCAGAGUGUGAAGACUCGUGCAGCUUCAGCCAGGGCGGGUGGAGGGAUCUCUAGCUUGGCUCUUGAGCUCUCUGAGUUGCCUCUCUAAGCUACAGGAAAAUAGGAAAUUGUGUUUCAGUGUGGAGUUGUACUGUAAUAGAGAAUAAAUAUGCAUGUGCAUUUCUGUUAAAAAGGGCCAUUUACAAGCCAUGCGCUGAUUUCAUGUCAUUAAGGCACUCUUUAACACACUUAAAGUCAAACACUGAACCCAACUAUCCAUCCCAAUAUUGGACUUUAAAAUACCUUUUAAUUAUGUAACUGAAAUAAGAACUAAACAAAUGUUAAUAAGUAGGUGGAUUGACUGUUUAUCAUAUAAAGCUUAAUCACAGGUUUAAACGUACAGUGCUUUGUUUAUGUAUGUUUUUGCUCCUAUUUUAAAAAAAAAGUAUUAGGAGAAUGCAAUUUGUUUCAGAAUUUGAAGGCAC